AACGCCAUUAUCACACUAAA
rnacentral:miRNA from 1 species